AAAGGGGUAGUCAGUGAUGGCUGUCAGGACAAGAAAGAUGACAAGGACUCGCCCAAGAAGAACAAGGGCAAGGAGCGCCGGGACCUGGAUGACCUCAAGA
rnacentral:sRNA from 1 species